GUCCUUAAAAACUUCUGCUGAAGAUCGUCCAGUUCAGCAGGCAGAGGGAUAUUCAACUCCUGAUUCAGAGCCAAUGCCUCAAAACAGUCCUCCAACUUCUGAAAAGCAGGCCUGAAGAAGACAGGAAGAGGAAAGAGGGGCAGGCCAGGAGCUCAGGGGGACGCAGUGCGUCAUCAAUCCCCCGUUUUAGCCCCGCCCAAAAAAUCCGGAUCACAGCAAUGGGACUUUAAACUCUCAGACAAUGGUAAAAUCACUCAUGUUGUUUCAAGUCAGGAAAGGAGGUAGACAGCCACCAACUCUGAACCAAAGCUAAGUCCAAGCAUCCCAGCAGGAAAUCGUCUUCAGGCCAUAUUACAGAAGUACAAUGAUCUUUAUUUCCACAAUGAGGAAACACGAAUACUCUCCAGUGCUGAAGGGAUUAACAAUUAAUCUUUUUAAAUACCCAUAUUAAAAUUGAUUUGGC